AAUGGAUUACGCGUCUAAUUCUUGUGCUUUUCGUAAAAUUUUUGAUUCAAAGCAGAGCUUCUGGCCUUUCUGUUGCAGGAGGACGGAUAUGCAUACGCAUCCAGUCGUUGUUGUGUGGCAAGAGCACGAGCGUGCAUUUUGCCGGUUGCCGGUUUUGUUUUCCUUGGCCAGAAUAAUUGGUUGGUUGGACGCGUUAAGCUAUCGACUGACGCGUGGCGCAGCUGAAAAUGAGUGUCGUGAGUCCUUUAAACGGCUUUUCUAUGCUUACUCGGUAGCACACAAAUAUCCUGCCAGUGACUAAAGCUGUGUGUUGGCAAAAUUCGGAUUUCUUUGGCGCCGCGAUCUGAAGGUGCCGUUGGAAAGAGGAAGUCUUCCUGAUUAAAAAAUACAUAUACCAGAUCAUAGGUACCGCAAAUGUUCUUAUUCGACUUAAAGUUAAAAAAUUCCAAAAGUCCAACAUUUCACUACAUCUAACAUACUUUAUUCAAAUUUUUCACUACAAAUUCAUUAAUUAGCAAAGGAGUUUAAGCGGGAUAUUCAACUAAUAAAAUAAAUUACCAAGCUUCACAUCAUGCCGUUCAAAUUCACAAAAUUUUUUUUCUAUGCUAGUCAAAUGCUCCUUAUCUUUUUUAUAUUUCUUUCAAGUGGGAAAGCAAAUUUUUAAAAUACUGCAUUCAUUGGUAAAUCGAAUAUGUAUGUAUGUACAUCAGAUUAAGCAUUGAAUAAAACUCACUGAUGAAAACUUUUUUCAUUUAAUGUGUUCAUAAGUAUUUUUAUUUUUAAUUAUAAUUAUAAUUAAUAAAAAUAAGGAUAUAAAAUUUUUUAUAUAACAUACAUACAUACUUAGAAGAUUUACUUGUUUAUGACUCCAUAUCACUUCUCACUUUUACACUUUACUCAAAAACUUCACUUUUUAUUUUCACUAUACGAGCACUGAUUCUGUGAGAACAUAGCGCCUAAUUAUAUACACACCCCUUCAUUGCUCUAAAAGUAGCUAACGGUUCCUGAGUCUCUUCACUCUGUUCGCAGAAUACGAUCAGACCUCACUCAGUAACCAAGAAUGAUAGAAUACAAGAUUACGACACUAGUUUACAGUUAGUUUUUUUCGGUUUAACUCUUGACAAUUCUUACAAAAACAAAUACAUUGUUCAACAAUUUCGUGACGUAACAGUUUUGCGUUGAGAAGAACAAGCAUAGAAAUGCAUACAAAUUGAAAAAUUUCAGUGGAAUGUUUAGAAUAUUGUUGCGAGAAAAUAUGUAUGUAUAUAAUUAGUUUUAGGCACAUCCACAAUAAAUAGAGUAGCAUGAGUGGAAAUUGUUCAAAUGAAGAAAACCAGUGUAAGUGUACUGUUGUAUUUAUUUAAAUUUCUAAGCAUAAAUAUAUUAAUUUUUUAAAAUGAAAUGUGCAGUGGCUUGUUGUAAUAAUUAUUAUACAAUUAAAGGAUCGAAAAGGAGUUUUUUCUGUUUUCCGGCCGAUUUAAAAGUUGCCAAAAAAUGGGUGUUAUUUUGCAAAAGAAAUGAUAUAUUUAAUAUUAAAUUAAUAAUUUCACAAUUCUUUUAUCAUAAUUUCAUACAUCUGAUACAUCUGAACUUAUAAUAUAUGUAUAUAUUUAUAUACAACACAAGAAACGUCUUCUCCAUUUGAAUCACAACUUAAUAGACAAUUUUAUUAUCAAUAGGCCGAUAUAUUUCUUUAGAAAUGAUUCAAAUCUUUUCACUCAACAAUAUUCAAUCGCUUCACUAAAACUUUUCAUUAAAAUAGAAAGAAUUAAUAAUAUUUUGCGAAUUUACAAAAGUGUUUAUUUUUCUGUUUACAAUUUGCAAGCCAUUUGACAGUUUUUCACUCUUGUUCUUCUCAACACGGAACUAUGACGUUUCGUAAUGGCGGUCGUCGUAAUCUUGUAUUCUAUCAUUCUUGCUCAGUAACAGUCCUGUCUAUAGUCCUGUUACUAUGUAUGCUUAUUUGCGCAUUUACAUUCUAUAGUACCGUAAUAUAUGCCGCCAAUGCGUAGCCUACUCCAAACGACGCUGUGCCACAUACAGUUACCUACAAAAUAUUAGCACUCUGACAUACGCAUGUACACUGACAUACAAAAUACAAGUACUACCGCUCCGACAUAUACAUUUAUAAAAAUACUAUAUAUUGAAUUCAAAUUGAUAUUACUUUUGUUUCAUCUAAAUUUGAGAAAGUUUUUAAAAUAGGAUAGGAUAGGAAAAUAGAAUGAAAAUAUUUUUUAUUUACAAAAUAACUUAAAUUAUGGAUUUACUUAUAUACAUACUUGUAAAAGAGAAAGUGACUACAAAGACGAGUUAUGCAAUAUUGUCCUAUUAUUAUUCCAUUUAACCUCUCCAUGAGGAGUCUUGAAAUACUACAUAAAACUUUCUUUCGUCGUUUUACUAUGACAAAUGGUAUUUCAUCACGUUCAUGUGGAAUUGGCUUUGAAUACGAAAAAUUUAAGAGCCCUUGAAAGAGCACAUCUGAAUAUGUUAAAAUAAAAAGAUAUUUUAAUUUAUUUAAAUUUUAUCAUUUUGCAAUAGUUUUACUUUGCAAAAACCUCCAUGAGAUUCACGAACAUAAGCUCCAAAUUCUACAAACAAAAGUUUAUGGACGGCAUCAUCAGAUCAUAGUCAUCAGAACAUUGGUAUUGUUUUUCCUGUAGUUGAAAUAGUUAGAACCGCAGUUUGCAGGCACCUGAAUCACUAUGUGUUGGUAUGCAAUUAGAGAAAUUCCAUUACUGGUAAAAACAUUCCGACUCGUUAUCCAUUCUUCGAAACCUUACCAAAAUACAGUUUAUAUCACUGAUGCACGAAUAGACCUGAAUACUCACUUUUAAGGCCAAGUUCCUCUAAAAAAUGUAUUUUUUUUCAAUACAUUUUAUUUUUAUUACAAAACAAGUUGAGUAAUCAAUUUUUUUUACAUAUGAAAGUACAUAUGUAUAUGAGUAUUAAAUUACUUGAAAAAGAUGUUUUUUUUUAAUUUUUUUUCAAAAUGGCGGUCCUGAAAAUGGCAGCUGAAAUUCAUCCGAUUCGUAAAGAGUAAAAUGCCGUUUGGUUCAUAUCGAUAAGUGCAAUAGUUUUGAAAUGAAAGUGUCAUACAUGCAAAAAAACGUAGUUCGGAGAAAAAUCAGUUUAAACCAAAGGCACGCAGUAUCUGCUGCUACCGAAGGCGUUCGAGCGGCCGGUUUUCCCGCAGCUCUCCUCACUCUUUUAUACCAGUCUUGCUGACCUUCGGGACUAAUUCUAUACUAUUUCAACGAGUAUACAGUAGCAAUUUAUGAAAAAACAAAUUUCGAUUUUUUCAAAAUUGUUUGGAGGAACCUGGCUUUAAAAACUCAUUAUUUAAGGCUUCAAAAAUUGCAUCUUACGUCUUAUGCACUAUAUGACAAAUAGUAGAUUUUCCCAACAGAAAAAUACUCAUUUAGCUCGAGAAGUUAUCGCCUGUGGGAAAAUAGCGUAGUGUUGCCGCCAGUUUUUCACCGGCCGAGAUCGCUUCACGGAAUCUUGUAUUUCUUUUAUAAAUAUUAAAUAGUCGAAAAAGUAUUUUUGGAUUUUGUCAAUAGAUGUCGUUGGAGUCGCAUAUCUCCGAUGCUAUAUCAGUUCGUGUAGCAAAACAGUAGUUCGCUCGCGUUCUGGAAAUUUCGAAGUGAAAGAUGCACCUCGCUUUGGUCGAUCUAUCGUUGAUAAAGUCGAUGAAAUUAUGGAAAAGAUUGACCAGAACCAAUGGUUUUGAACCAUUCAAAACAGGCUGCCUGCAAAAAAAUGUUCGAUGUUUGGGUACCAAAUGAACUGUCUGUGAAAAAUGUAAGGCUCGAAUUAACAUCUGCGAUUCUUUGCUGAAACGAAAUGAAUUCGAACAAUUUCUGAAGCGAAUGGUAGCUGGAGACAAAAAGUGGAUCAAAUUCGACAAUAAGACAUCAAAUACGAGAAAUGCAAAUGCAGAACUCCCUUAAUGGAGUAAAAUUGUCUUCAAAAGAGGCAAUUACUCGUCGCAGUUUUUCGCCGAGAAACCAGAAAAGUUUUACACUGAUGCAAUAAUGUAUCUAGGCGGAAAAAUGGCAAAAAGAGGUCGACCAAAAUGGAGCAUAUUUUGUUCAUUAAAAUUCGUUAUAUUAAAAAAAAUAAGUUAAAGUUUGAUCAGAAAUACGAAAAUACUUUUUCGACUACCCUAUAUAUGGGAUGAGCCCAACUAAAAAGUCGAAGACUUCCAGAGUCAUCCUCAGGAAGUUUUCCAACCACUUUGGGUCCUGAUAAACCAGCUUAAGUCUAAGUGUGGUGUAAAAUCCACAGUUAAAACGAUUCUUUAAGCCUGGUCUCAUCCUUCACUUCUUUGGCUUUCUUUGAUUAGUCCUUCUUUUUAAUGCUUAUAAUUUCGUUAUAAGGCGUAUGUAGCGCCGCAGUUGCAAUCGCAAAUUUUCUAUAUUUAUACACUUUUUCAUUUUUUACGCACUUUUUUAAAAGGAAUUAUAUUUUUUUAUUACAUAUGUAUUUCUUUAUAACAGCUGGUUAAAUUGUCUGUUCACAAUUGCCAUCUAUAGGGAAAACGGGUUGUCAAUCAAAACUUAACGACAGGUUUAGAACUGAUGUUGUAAUGAAAACGCAUUUGACACGAGAUGAACAGCUGUUCGUUGAGACAGUUUUGGAAGUCAACUAUUUUUCCCUAAAGAUAACUAAGCAUUACUAUUUUUUCGCACAGUAAUAUAGUAUGUCCAUAUUUCGUUAAAAAUAUUCGAUAAAACUGAAAUAAAUAUUUACAGAUAAUAAUAAUGACGUCAGACUGAUAUU